rnacentral:tRNA from 2 species
GGGGGUUUAGCUCAGUUGGUAGAGCGCCUGCUUUGCAAGCAGGAUGUAAGCGGUACUGCUCCGCAGAAGCAAGCUACGAGUCCGCUAACCUUCA